AUCGAACGCUAGCGGGAUGCCUUACACAUGCAAGUCGAACGGAGUGGCGAACGGGUGAGUACUGUAUCGGAACUUGCCCAGUCGCGGGGGAUAACUACGCGAAAGCGUAGCUAAUACCGCAUACUAUUGGAGCGGCCGCUGUCGGAUUAGCUAGGUGGUGGGGUAACGGCUCACCAAGGCGACGAUCCGUCGCCGGCUUGAGAGGACGACCAGCCACACUGGGACUGAGAAACGGCCCAGACUCCUACGGGAGGCAGCAGUGGGGAAUUUUGGGCAAUGGGGGAAACCCUGAUCCAGCCAUCCCGCGUGUGCGAGGAAGGCCUUCGGGUUGUAAAGCACUUUUGGCAGGAAAGCGGUACCUGCAGAAUAAGCACCGGCUAACUACGUGCCAGCAGCCGCGGUAAUUC
rnacentral:rRNA from 1 species